GGUUAUUGGCUGUAUAAAUGUAUAUAUUGUAUUUCCCUUCUGUGUCUUUUAGUUAUGUUGCAGCAGGUCUGGCGAUUGCAGCAGGUGUGUGUCACGCCCCUUACCGGCAUCUGUAGUGCAGCCGUGUCAUGGGCUGCUAAUGCAGACCUGUUCAUAUAGUCCCGUGGUUGUUCAGUCUCUCUCUCUCCUCUGCCAAGUAUGUGCCAUGUGUUCGCUCUCCAGGUUGGCGUGUAUGCCGUGAUGGUGUGUGUGUGUCCCCUUCCGGUUAGCCACCGCUGCCGCCGCUAGCUUCUGACGGCUUCAUUAUUUAUUGGUGCAGGCUACAGCCCGCCAUGCAGCCUGCCUGGCGUUAGGUUGCUGUUGUUGCCCUGCCUUGCCUCUUGCCUUUAUCUCCACGUUUUGUUUCUUUUUGUUGCCUUGCUCAUAGUUGCUCUGCCCUCGUCAGUUAGACGCUUGUUUUAAAGUAGUGUACUGUAGUUCAAGACUGACUGACCGCGACUCCUUAGUGGGGGGGGUGGGAAGUAGCACAGCUUUGAGGACCUGCAAAAGUUAUGCAUGUAGCAUUAUGGUUUUGUUUUCUUUUGUGUUGAUUUGAGUUUGUUUGAUAUUUUGUUUGGUUUCUUUUCUCUUUGUUUGCUGUGCAGGACCUCAGCUUAGUUAUUUCCUCAGUCUCAACUUAAGCUGAGUCUGUGGUACAGAUUAAUAGAAUAG